rnacentral:lncRNA from 1 species
UUUAGAAAAAAAGUCUCCGGCAGAGCUUAGAUGAGUUCAAGAGAUCAUAGCAUACAAAGGUUUUGGCUUUCUCAUGCACAUACACGGUAGAGGAGCCCCAGUUCUUCUUUACUGGAAAUUAAUGCAUAAAGCUGUUUUUGUAGGAAAACAUGUAAGAGAUCUAGCAAUUGAUAAUUCUUGUUUAUAAUUGCUUUCAUAAUGAUGAGAAAAAGAUCAUACCAGGUAUUUCACAAGACCUACCCACUGAGGGCAGUUUAAAGAAUGUGCAUCUCAUAACCCAAGCCUUUGUGUUUUCUAUCUUGAGUUUGGCUCAGUCUACUCCUGAGACCCUCUCUCCACAUUCCUUCUGUCCAAAACAGGGUUCCAGGAGCAUCGAAAGUAUCCAUGUGGCUACUGACAGCAUUACUGACUGUCCCCCACCAGGAAAGUAAAAUAUCUACAGUCAGGCAGCAUGGACCUCAGUUAGCCAAGAGAGCUGCCACCCAGCCAGCCACCAGUUUCAUGCAGUGACUAAUUACAGCCAGUGGACAUGUGAUUAUCUUUUAAAGUCAUUUUCCUUGGAACGCGUUUUAUGAACCUAACAUUGCAGAAGAAUGUCUGCUUACUCCAGGGCACUUCAGUAUUCCUGAGGAAUAAAUAUGAUUUCGCUUUUCCUCCCACUGGGACAUUCUCAGGUAUGUCACUGCUCCUGCUCUUUGACAUAUUUUCUAUGUAGAAGAUAACAGAGCCUGGAAGUGAGGGGUGCCUGGGUGGCUCAGCAGUUCAGCAUCUGCCUUCCACUCAGGGCAUGAUCCCUGGAUCCUGGAAUCAAGUCUCACAUUCGGUUUCCACAGGAAGCCUGCUUCUCCCUCUGCCUAUGUCUCUGCCUCUCUCUGUGUGUCUCUCAUGAAUAAAUAAAUAAAAUCUUUAAAAAAAGAAAAGAAGCUAAGUGAAAAGCAAAUCCUGAUCCAAAAACCAGACUGCAUCUGCCAUGUACCCAUCCCACUUCCUGCUGAGCUCUGAAUCUGACAUGUGUUGUUGUUUGUAUAUGCAUGUGCAUAGAUAUACACAGAUUUAUGGUCAUGGUAUAUAAACAGGUUUUCAUUCUAGUUUUUAUUUGCCUUGUGAAUGUUUUUGAAGGUCAUACAUUUCUUUAAGAAUUUGAUUUAUAAUUGCUGAAAUAUUAUUAAUCUUUCAACAUUUAAUGAUUCUUUUCUAUUGUUAGAUAAUUAAACUUUUAAAAUAG